GAUGAACGCUAGCUACAGGCUUAACACAUGCAAGUCGAGGGACCGGCGCACGGGUGAGUAACACGUAUCCAACCUGCCCUUUACUCGGGGAUAUCCUUUCGAAAGAAAGAUUAAUACCCGAUGUAAAGGAUGGGGAUGCGUUCCAUUAGGUUGUUGGUGAGGUAACGGCUCACCAAGCCUUCGAUGGAUAGGGGUUCUGAGAGGAAGGUCCACCACAAUGGAACUGAGACACGGAACAAACUGCGACGGGAGGAAGGAGUGAGGAAUAGAGGGAAAGGAGCGUUAGACUGAACCAGCCAAGUAGCGGGAAGGAGGAAGGCUUAUGGGUCGUAAACUUCUUUUAUAUAAGAAUAUGUAUUAUAUGAAUAAGGAUCGGCUAACUCCGUGCCAGCAGCCGCGGUAAUAC
rnacentral:rRNA from 1 species